AAAGUCGUAACAAGGUUUCCGUAGGUGAACCUGCGGAAGGAUCAUUAUAAAGAUUCUAACGGUUCCUAGCCCUUAAAAAAGGCUAUGAGCUUAUUCAACCCUUUGUGAAACUAAAAACUUUUUUCGCUUCGGUAGCAAGCCAGUUUCUUGGUGAGAACCAAUUUCUGUGCUGUUAGCCUACCGGUAGCACUUUAAAACUAAACUUUUUAAACAAAUAUUGUCUGAUUUUAAAUUUUGAAUUAAAAAAAAAUCAAAACUUUCAACAACGGAUCUCUUGGUUCUC
rnacentral:misc_RNA from 1 species